ACGGGAUCCAACGUCCUACCCGGACCAUUACCUUGUUGAGAUGGGGGUUCCUGGUGACAUCGUAUCCGCGCUUCUUCAGGGGUACGGGUCGAGGCGGGCCAGACUUGGAGUGGCAGCCCUGGGCGGGCGCGGAAGGUGCCUGGCGCCGAAGACUGCUGCAGGCUAUGCGAGGCACGGAGGUCAGCCGCGCGCCAGUGCCCAGCGCGGCGCCCAUAGCCCUGGCACAGACCUGGAACCAGGGCGAGACCAAGGUCAGGGGUGCCCUCUAGGCAAGCCAGGUCCUGCGCGCCAGCAGGGCGCCGGACCUGAGCUCUCGGAGAGGCUGGGGGUUCCUGAUGGAAGGCGCUAGCCUCCUCCCCUUGUCCGAGGCCACCUGCUCCUCGCUUGGUUGCGAUGCUCACCCCUCAGCCAGCAAAGCGAAAGCAAGCCCAGAAAGCAGAUCCCGUGCGGAUGACAGCCCGUGCCUCCCUGCCCCCAUAUGGGAGAAUACUCUCCAAGGAGUCCCCGCACCCUCAGUACCUGUGGUUAACCUUGGUUUCUCCUUCUUCCGCUUACCUGCCUAACUGGAGAAGCUGAAGUCUAUGCAGUCCCACUGCGAGCAGGUGGGGCAAGGCGCUACUGUCCCCUGUCACUCUCUGGCCAAAGGCAGCACCUCACAGGCAGUGCUAGCUCACGGGACUGAUGCAUUCAGUAAAACAGUCUCCAAACCUUUCCUUGCGGGACCAGAUUUUCCUUGAGGAUAUGCGCGGGGGCUCUUCAUAACAAGACAGGAUGAAGCUCAUUUUCCUCCCACAUGAGGGUUUUUGUGCUUUUGUACCCUGGCACUCUCUAUCCAGAGGUCUGAAUGGCACUUAGGGGAGAACACUUGAGGGUCAGCAUGCCCCCACCUCUUGAGCAAGACCUGGGCAAGAAUGCUGUCAGUAUAGUAACCAUUAGCCACAUGUAGCUGUAAUACUCUAAAUAAAAUACAAUUUUAAAUCCAUUUUACAGUAAAUAAAAUUUCUAAAUAAAAUACAAUUUUAAAUCCC
rnacentral:lncRNA from 1 species